rnacentral:rRNA from 1 species
CAGCAGCCGCGGUAAUACGUAGGGUGCGAGCGUUAAUCGGAUUUACUGGGCGUAAAGCGUGCGCAGGCGGCCCGUUAAGACAGGUGUGAAAUCCCUGGGCUCAACCUAGGAAUUGCGCUUGUGACUGGCGGGCUCGAGUACGGUAGAGGGGGGUGGAAUUCCUGGUGUAGCAGUGAAAUGCGUAGAGAUCAGGAGGAACACCGAUGGCGAAGGCAGCCCCCUGGGCCUGUACUGACGCUCAUGCACGAAAGCGUGGGGAGCAAACAGGAUUAGAGACCCGGGUAGUCCACGCCCUAAACGAUGGGUACUAGCCGUUUGGUGCGCGAUAGCGCUGAGUGGCGAAGCUAACGCGUGAAGUACCCCGCCUGGGGAGUACGGCCGCAAGGUUGAAACUUAAAGGAAUUGGCGGG